GACAACAUCUGGUUUUGGUAGGAGUAGAUGCAAGGUGUCCCUUGAACUUAUGGCAAUCUGGCAUUCAGGUCACUGUUCCUGUGCACUGAGUUCCUGACUCAUCGAAGAGCUGUAGUCUACAGCAACUAUUAAGCAGAUGGACAGUCCAACAGCAGCAAGGUGAAACUAGCUGAGAUUCGCUGCAGUACUUUGUAAGUGGAGCUGCCUGUUAAGAGCUGGUGUUCUCUCAAAAGAAAAGCUUUGGUAAAUGAGGACAAGGCUUUAUGAACGGCAGCCAUCAGCAUUGCCUAUCAAGUUUCAAGACAGCUGUGGACCAAUGCAAGGACGUGACUUCCCACUAUUGUAUCUGAAAAAAGCUACAUGCACUGCAGGGUCACAUAAGUGGGAGGUACUAAAGAUGUAUUGAAAAGGAAGUCUCAGGAAGUUAACAAAACUAUUGGCUUUUGUCACAACAGAAGAUUUGUGCUGAAUAGGCUUCAGUAGUUCAGCAGACAUUACAUGAAAGUGAUUUUCCCUGCUUGCUGUGCAAGAGACAUGA